GUAUGACAUUUUGUUUUCAUAUACAGAAGACAGAAUAAAUGUGGUUUCUAUUGAUUUCUGUGUCUAGUGCAAGAAACCUCUCAGUCUCAUUAUGAAUCGGUACAGAACGCUUUAAAAGAGAGAAAUGAAAUGGAGCAGGCAUUACUGGAAAUGGAGAAAAAUCUUCAUCGUAAAGACAUAGAAAUCUCUGAUCUGAAAGCCAACCUGCAAUCAUUAAAAGAGAGUCUGGAGCAAUUAACAACCCAGCAGAAAGAGCAGCACCUGAACCUCUGUGAGCAAAUUGGCCUCAUGCAGAUCCCCCGUCUUCUCACUGAGCUGCAGGCAUUCAUUUCUUCCCCCAGAGCACCCACUCAGAUAAAGGACAAUGCCUCCCAAACAUCUCCCAACAUGAUGUUGACACAACAACCUCAUGAUUGUCACGGAAAUAUUUCAAAGAUGUCUCCUGAAAACAAGGUUGUUUCUAUGAUUGCUCCUCCACAAAGUAAAAAAAAUCUUGACAUGCAGCAACAGAGUGGCCAUAUUGCAGCUAGGGGCCAAGAUGCAAACAAUAGCAUUUACAUCAGCUGCUCCACUGCAGCUGUCCCUAGUAGUAGCCCCGAGGGGUGCUGGCCAUUUACUCAAGACCUAUAUCAAGCCACUCCCAUCAGGAAAGUCCUUAAAAGAGACAACCGGGGGAAAAGACUUACUCUUAGGAGACCUUUACAGCAGAACCAGACUCGCAUUAGCAACACACUCCUACAAAACCAUGCUGAGGAGCACAAAAACAGAGUAUUGUCCACAAAUGGGAACAUGCCAAAUAAAGGUAGAGGAAGGGGAGUCAGAAAGAAAAAGUCGAAAAUGUGGGGCCACAAGAAAAGCCUUUACUCUUCUAAGAAAGAAAGAAAUUACUUGAUGUAUAUUAAUGCCGAUGUGAAGCAAAAUAUAAAUGGGAGAGGGUGUUCUAAUUUGGAGAAGACCCAAUACUCUUUUAACCCAGAUAGUUCUAGCUUGGCACCUUCCCCAGCUGUGCUCCAGUCCCAGGAAAAUGUACAGUGUGCAGCCAGUGUACAAGGGAUACCUGGAGUUCAAAACAGGAUGGGCCUUUCUAGCACAAAAAAUAAUCGUUUUUUCUGGGCAAACUCCUCUCCAGAUAGUUGUUUAUCCCCAAAGUGGUUUCAUCUUUUUGAGAACAACUCACCUUCCUCAUCCCAGAAGGAAAGCAAAAAGUAUUGCCCAAUAUUUUUUGACAGUGAAUAUUCCGACUAAAAGAGUUCUGUACAUGUCUGAUCUCUGGAAAUAUGAGAUCUGUUUUGUAUGUGUUUCUGUAAAAUACUGUAAAUAUUAUUGUACAUCACAAAUAGUAAUCUCCCAUACUCGGCACCAUUACAAUACCUCUGACUUAAGAGUAAAAUGAUGUAUUACUUGUUCCUUAAAAAGACGGCUUACCUGGAAGCAUUCUGGGAAUAGUCUUUGCCAUAUUUUCCAUUUCUUCAUCACUAGUAGAAACAUAUGUUUUAUACAGAUUUAUCUUAUGUUUAUUUUAAUACAAUAUCUCCCUGAACCUGCCCUCCCCCUAUAUCCAUCCAGAAAGAAUAAUUGUUUUCUGUGGCCAGACUUGUGCAAAAUCCAGUCCAGAAAAUUCAUUUUAUCCCCAUGCCAAAACUCUUGAGGGAGAAUUGUAUGUGUGUCUGGACUCUUACAGUUCAGAUUUUUCCUUCAUAAAGGAAUCACUCACUUUUUUUCUCCCAAAGGAAUGCCAUGUUCUCUAGCCUCUUCAUAAUAUUUGUUAUACUGAAAGAGGCAUCGCAUCCACUGUUUACUCCAUUGUCAGAGGAAGAUGGGUUGUGUGGGUUUGGGCACCAGAACAAAGUCAAGCAUGCAGUUUCUUUAUUCAUGAUGAGUCUAUUUGAAAAUGUGUUGAUUUAGCAGCAUAAUAAAAGUUGCAAAGAUUCUGGCUUUAGUUCUCAGUGGGCUACCAAUCCGUUUGGAAAUGUUUGGGUUUUUUUUUAAUUUGCU
rnacentral:lncRNA from 11 species